UGGCUCAGUUGGUAGAGCAUGGUGUUUGCAACAUCAGGGUUGUGGGUUCAAUUCCCAU
rnacentral:tRNA from 1 species